ACUCCUACGGGAGGCAGCAGUGGGGAAUAUUGGACAAUGGGGGAACCCGUAGCAUCCAGCCAUGCCGCGUGUGUGAAGAAGGCCUUCGGGUUGUAAAGCACUUUCAGUGGGGAGGAAAGGUUGUUGGUUAAUACCUAACAGCUGUGACGUUACCCACAGAAGAAGCACCGGCUAACUCCGUGCCAGCAGCCGCGGUAAUACGGAGGGUGCAAGCGUUAAUCGGAAUUACUGGGCGUAAAGCGUGCGCAGGCGGUCUGUUAAGCGAGAUGUGAAAGCCCCGGGCUGCAACC
rnacentral:rRNA from 1 species